rnacentral:rRNA from 1 species
UACGUAGGGUGCAAGCGUUGUCCGGAUUUAUUGGGCGUAAAGAGCUCGUAGGCGGUUUGUCGCGUCGGAUGUGAAAACCCAGGGCUCAACCCUGGGCCUGCAUUCGAUACGGGCAAACUAGAGUAUGGCAGGGGAGACUGGAAUUCCUGGUGUAGCGGUGAAAUGCGCAGAUAUCAGGAGGAACACCGAUGGCGAAGGCAGGUCUCUGGGCCAUUACUGACACUGAGAAGCGAAAGCAUGGGGAGCGAACAGG